ACAAAAAUUAAAAGUGUUAAAAAUUUAAAAAAAUGGAAUACCUGAGUUCCUUCUGUAACUGGGGGACAUGCUGUGAUGGUUGCACUCGUUUCAGCAACAGGAUCGGGCAACGUCGCAGCAGCCGGGAGAACUUGGCAGAAAAUGCCAUGUGUGGGUCAUGGAGAAAGUGACCAUCAAUGUUACUGGAGAUUCUUUCAGCAAUUACGUCAUCGGUUAAAAGAAAUAAUAGUUGCCGUAAUAAGACACGAGUUUCCUGUGACUCGCACGCCCUGUCGCUUGUAGACGCCCUGUAAGCACAAACCUUUUAUUACUACUCUUAGAAUUUCUUCGAAAUCGGACAACCUAAAACCAACCUCAAGAAUAGCGUGAAUAGCUGAAUAGCUGCAAUACCACAAUGGCUUCAAUCAUCUAAUAUACCGGCCAAACUGAUUGUUAUUCAAAAUCCAAGGUAUGAUUUACAACUCUGAUUUGGUAAUAUGCGGGAGAAGAAUACGUUCCAGGAAAAAGAAACUGUGCUGGCGCUUACAUGGAAUCAUACUUCUCCGUCAUCAAUCUUUCACCUAUGCGAGUACUACUGGGCCAAGUAGGGUCAAGGACCCAAGAUGUUGAAAAACCUUUGGAAGAUUUACUGUCGUCUACAUUGGUAUUUACCCAAUUCAACGUUUAGGAUUCUAUGGGUAGCAACGAUAACUACAUGUAAUUUCAAGAACUUCAGGUAAUUUUAGCAAUAUUAGGUUUACUUACUGAUCAUAUAAUGCAAACAAGUUUACUGCAUAUAAACCGUUUGGAAUUAAUCACAACAUACACAACCAAUCUGCUGCAAAUAGAUACAUGCAGAAAAAUCUAUAGAACUUGGAAUACUCACAAAAAUGUAGAAGGUGUCUUCAUUUUAAAAUGUCGUUUCUGAAAAUUGACAGAUUUUGGGUUGCGCCGAAAUUCAUAUACAUAUUUUGAAUCGUCGAUAUUUUCAUAAUAUUAAUCGUAAUGGAAUUUGAUUGGCUAUUUGAGCUUUGACUCGGAUAUCCCAAAUAGAUUCACUUGAUGACUAUACGAUGUGUUAAACCAUAUUGUGUUUAAGAAAGUUACCCAAUUACAUAGGGAAUAUUGACAACGAUCUGUUAUUUAGAAAUAAUUAUAUCUGAGAUAAAUUUUUAAAUCCGUCCAUACUUUUUCAGCUGGUAGUGUACUCGGAUUUUUCCAUUGUCGCCAUAUUAUAUAAGCUUUUAUGCUAGAACAUGAAAAUUUAUUUAUUCAAUUUCGAGUAUCUCAACACAAUUUUAAUGAAUAUGAUGCUAUUAUGACACAACUUUUACCCGUAAACAAUCAUUAAACUUAUUUUGCGUCAUAUUGA